AGGAAGUAAACACUGACAAUUCACCCAACUCAUAAGAGCCAGGCCUCUCCUCCUGGCUUGGUCUGUUCACUUCUUGUUUCCCUAAAAGCAAGGGCCUUUUUGCCUGUGCUGUGUCUGAGCGGUAAUUACCUUGUGUCUGUUCUGCUGCCUUCAAAUUAUUUUUCCCACCUUCAGAGCAAUUGCCUCCCACUUCUUAUCUCUACUGUGAUCUUCUGCAGGGCACAAGGGACCUGUCUCUUGACUCUCAUAUUUUUGCUUCUGAUGUUAAAAAGUCCCCUUGAACUUGCAUUUUACAGACACCAGCAAAGCCCAAGUGUCUUCACAUAACCUGACACUUCCCGGGGGCAGGGUGUUUGCAAUUAUAGCCUGAGCUGGCUGCGGGAUCAGAGCAUUGCCCAGGCCCGGCGAGGCCUGGCCUGCAGAGCACUUUUGAUGAGUGAUGGGGUUAUUAUUAUGAAUGCUAUGCGAGGACGCUGGUAAAGUCCCAUGGCAGGAGGGCUUUUCUCCCUUCAUCUUGCCUUAGCAUAGACAGACAGACAUAUACAUACAUAUAUGCAUAUACCGGGAGGCAGGCUGGCUAGGGAGAGAAGAAAACGAAGUUAGAGGAAAUUCUCACACAUUUUGGAACGAUCUUUCUCCCAUGCCUCUGUCUUCCCAGAGUCUCCUGUUUCUCACUGACAGGCCAUCCUCUCUUAAGGACCAUGAAUAUAGUUUACUCCCAAAUUGAAAAGCCAACCUCUUUUUCCAGCUUUUGUAUUCCAACACCCUUCCUUCCCUUUUAUCUUUUUUCUUGAGGCUUAGGAUUUCUUUCUUUGGAGGCAUUUUCUGCCACUUUUGUCUCUUGCAGAGAAAAUAAAAAAUACCUAGGUAGAAGGAUAGUGGUCCUAGCUAUUUGCAUAGAUAGAGUGCUUCUCUAGGGAAACAAUUUUUUUCCAACUCUUCCAUUGUGUGUGUCUCUGUUCUGUGCUGCAGAGUGUUGAUCAUUGUUCAUUUAUGCCUCUUUGGUAAAUCUAUGUCCCUGUGGGUGGGCCCAACCUUCCCUGAAAGAGGGAGGCACGCCCAAUGUUAAAUGUCUGGGAGGAGGCCAUACUCAGCCAGAAAAUGUGAUCUUAGGAGGCUUGGCAAGGAGCCUCCUAGUCCUUCCACUUUGGUUUCAGACUUUGAGGAGACUUGAUGCCUUUGGAGGAGAGCAGCAUUUCACGGUUUCGAGAUGGCCUCCCUGAUGGGAAGGUGUGAUGGGAACUGGGAAGGGGCUCCCAGGCUACGUGUAAUGAGCUGAAGCCCCAGAGGUUACUGACAGACCAAAAUAUCCUGACAACCCCGGAAUGCCAGAAGGAGAGAAGGGGUUUGUAAAUCUGAGGACCUUGACUACUUUUGUAAGAAGGAAUUACUUGCUAAGUACUGUCUCAGAAAGAAACUCUCUUGGAGGUUACCUGGGGACAAGUGGAGGAAGCAAGCCAUAGCCUUUUUGGAAUUGUGAUAAUAUUCCAAGGCAAAUGUUCCCAGGGGCUGGGAUUUUACCUUCUGUCUGUCCUACAAUCAGGGUGUAAGAUGGAGGAAUGCACUUCCCAUCUCUGAGCCACGGUUUCUCAUCCAUAGAAUGGGGAGUUUGGAUUUCUAAGAUCCCCCAUCUCACGCUUUGAAUGCGAUCAGGCUGGGAAUUCAAAAGCAUCUGCUCACUGGGAAAGGGAGGCAGUCAGGGUGGGACAGGGCUUGUAUUGAAUAACGAGAAAGGAGCAUGGUGACUAUGACUUGAGUCAGUCCGGAAAUAAAAUAUAAGGGGGUCUGAUCUGAGGCAGAAGAGGACAGCAGAAAUUCUCCUAGGAGUGGCAGUCAAGCCAGGUCAGGCUCGGGUCAGGCUGCCUGGUUCAGAGAAUGGCAUCAAUGUGUGCAGAGAGGUUCUUAAGGCCAGACAGGUGUCAGGGCCCAAGCCAAGUGGACUGGAGGUCAGAAUAGGGCUUCAGUUCUAAAAAAGGUGCCUGGCUGAGUGCAAAGCAGGCCUGAGUCAUCCAGACCUCACAAUCAUGGCUGGAGUGGCCACAGACAGACCCACAAUGGGUGCAGGGGAUCCCAAGUUUAUGACACCAAGAGUCAUUCCAGGCUUACCUAUGUUUUCAGGGCAAAUACAGGACUGAGUCUAGGCUGGAGGGUUAGAGAAGCUGAAACAGACACCUUUAGAACUGAAGUGUGAUGUUUUCAUUAAUCUGAAUACAAACCAUAGCCAAUAUAUAUGGUGUGCUUUCUCUGUGUCACUCUAUUCUAAGUAUUUCACAUGUGUGAACUCCCUGGCAGGCUAGUAGUAUUAGAGCUUUUGCUUAUUAAUCUCUAUGGUAACAGGUCAUUAAAAAAAAUAAUUAAUUACUGUGUUACCAAGAUCAAAAUAUAGUAAUAUUCGCCUCUUCAGCUGUGACCACCACCAUAGAAAAGUCCAGGCAAAAAUACAGAGAUCAGAAGGGGCAAGUGGAACCCUAUGCAGGCUAAAGACUCUUAGGAAAUAUGGGCCCUUGAAAUGUCCCCAUCUAUGUGGGUUUCAUUGUCAGUCCUUCUUUCUUUGGCAGGGUCAAGGGCAUUUGACCUGUUGAUACACCUAUUGCUUUUCCAGCAAGCCCUACAUCUUUCUAGUAAGGAGUCAAUGCACCAAAGCUGGAGGCCACUGGAGGUGACUCCAGUCACCAUUUUUCAACUUCUCCUAGAAAUGUCUCUUUGGUUUCUUCAGGCUUUGACUUGGGUGACUAUGGAGAACGUGACAUGGGAAGUUAAAAAGCAACAAGAAGUCUUUUAAAAAGUUUGAAUUACAUUGAACAUAUGUCUGAAAUGUAAGAAGGGGUAAGCCCUCUUUCUUACCAUCCUUCCUGACCAUGACCCCUGGGAGUCAGAUAUCCCAGGCACAGCUUAGCUUUCUAACCCUGCUGUGUUGCCCUCCAUGAUCUCUCCGAAUUUCUCUCCCUUUCCUCCCUUUACACUAAAAAUGCUCUAGUUCUGGCCUUCCUCAUCUCGUUAAUAAUUAAGCUGGCUGACUUAACUCCCUGCCUUCUGGUUGCCCUCUUCAAUCUGUCCUUGUCUCUGUCAGCAGCAGCAUCGUCCUGCUCAAAACCACAAAGACCUCCUACUGUGGAAAGACAGGUAUUCAGAAUCCACAUCGCACGUCUAGAUCCCCUGUGAUGUGCCCUGAAACAACCUCCACUGUCUUAGCUUUUACUAACAUCUUCCAUAAUUUCCAGGCCCAGCAGGCCUGAUCUUGUGCUCAACUUCCCCAACUUAGUCUCCUCCUUCUGUCAGAAAUAGCCUUUCUCUAUCUCCACCUGAGAUUAAUGUAUCCUGGAGAGUCUAUCUCUCUUUUCAGUGUCCAUAUCAAGGGCCGGCUCCUCCAGAAAGCCUUUCUAUACCUUCAACCUCCAACCUCAUAUCUCAUCAUUAGAAAAGAUCACGUUCUCAUUAGAAGCCCAAACCUCAGUAUCACAUAAUAUGCCCAUCUAACAAACCUGCACAUGUACACCCUGAACCUAAAAAAAAAUAAAAUAAAACAAAAAAAGAAAAGAAAAUAUACACUGAUGAGAAAAAAAAGGAUCAAAUCCAACUUUAAGUUCCUGAGUCUAACUUUCUAACUUUAUUUUAGUGCCUCCCAGAAUUAUCUGUGUUUGUGUCCACAUUAACCAUUGGCUGGGAUCAUCAUAAGUGAAUCACCAUGUUCCCCAAACCAAAAACUGCCCUGGCACACAGGAAGCUUACGUUAGUGUCUUAGUAUGGCAUAUAUGUAUACACACACUGUACACAUGAACACAUAUCUAUGUGAUGUUUCCAAACAUAGAUAUGUGUUCAUAUCCAAAGACAGUUGUCUUUGAAAGUAAACACAAUAAACUCGGAUAAACUUCUGGAACAUGGGGAUAGGAGGGUGGGAUGAAAGAAAGCAUUUAGUAAAUUUACAUUUCUUUAUGUAUUUCUUGACUCUUAAAAUCAAUAUAUCAUAAUUUAAUAACAUAAUUUAUUAAAAUGAAAAAUAAAAUAAUUCAUGUUAAUUGUAGAAUACAUACAUCUGUAAAGAAGAAUGACAAACAGGAAUAAUUUCCAGAGACUCACAAUCUACAUACAUUCUAUUUAUGUGAUUAGAUCCAUGUUAUUCUUAUGUUUCCUUUUUGCCAGUUAGCAUUGUAUGGAGAGUACUUCUCCAUUUUCUAUCAUUGGGUGUAUGAAUUGUUAACCACUUUGGAAUACUGCAAAUAAUCAUAUAAUGAAUAUACAUAUACUUAAAUCUUUGUGUGCAUUUGUUAUUAUUUACUAGGUUAGAUUCUUAGAAAUAGAACCACUGACUUGAAGGGAAUAUUAUCAUUUAAGGUUUUAAUCCAUGUUGCCAAAAUGUUUGUAAGAAAGUAUCCAUCUCACAAUACCCACAUCAGAACCAGGUAUUACAAUUUUUAAAACCUCCCAAACAUUUUCUUUUUCUUUCUUUUUUUUCUUUUCUUUUUUUUUUGAGACAGAGUCUCACUCCGUUUCUCAGGCUGGAGUACAGUGGCAGUGACUGCAACCUACGCACCCCCCAGGUUCAAGCGAUUCUCCUGCCUCAACCUCACGAGUAGCUGGGAUUACAGGCACCUGCCACCAUGACCCGCUAAUUUUUUUGUGUUUUAACUAGAGACAGAGUUUCACCAUGUUGGCCGGGGUGGUCUUCAACUCCUGAUGUCAAGUGAUGCGCCCACUUCUGCCUCCCAAAAUGCUGGGAUUACAGGCUUGAGCCACAGCGCCCAGCCCUAACAUUUUUUUUUUUAUGGAUUCUCCCUUUGCUUUUAUAAUGAGGGCACCUCUACCCUGAGAUGAAUCAGAUGCAUUAUUGUUUUUUGUCAAUUCUUUUACUACUUCUUCUUUAAUAUUUGAAUUUUUGAUCAAUUUAAAUCAAAUUAGGUAAAUUUUAUGAGGUAAGGGAGGAGACAUUUGCCUUGUUAUAAUUCCUGUAUAUUUAACCAAUCAUCCAUGUCAUAUUUAUUUAAUAAUCCUUCCCCACACUUUAAAUAAUUUGUAGUCUUAUUUUUGUUCUGUGUUUGAAUUACCAUAGCUGUAUAGUAUGAUUUGACAUCUGAUAGGGUAGAUUUCACCUUUUUAAUUAUUUAUUUUAUAUUCUGGGGUCAUUCUCAGCAUUUAUUUUGUCUAAAUGAAACGUAAACAGGCUGUCAAGUUUUCAACACAGAUCCAAGUGGAAUUAAACAUUUUUUUUCUUACGAAUAUUUGGGGACUUCAUUCCUUUCUUCCUUUUUUUUCUCUUCCUCCUCCCCUCCCUCCUUCUCCUCCUUCUUAUUCUAUUCUUCUCUCUCUUUUUCAUUCUCUUCUCCUUCCUUCCCUUCCUUUCCUUCUCAACUUCAUCUUCUUCGUUUCUCCAUCAUUAUCAUUUUCUGUUUAUUGAUUACACUUAAAUAAUAACUAUUUCAUAGAGAAAAUUAAAACUAGACAUAGUGAUCAAAUGUUGACAUGUUGUUUUUUGUGUCAAAUAUUCAAAUAUUUUUAAAUUGACAUCUAAAAGUUUAUAGAAACAGGCACAUUCCUCCACCAGAAUUUCCCUCUACUCUCAAAAGUAACCACCAUUAUAAAAUGCUGCACUGUCAGCAAACCACCAUGGCACAUGUAUACCUAUGUAACAAACCUGCACGUUCUGCACAUGUAUCCCAAAACUUAAAGUAUAACAAUAAUAAUAAUGCUGCACUGUCUUUUUUGUGUUGUUUUGUGCAUUUUUAACCUCUAAUUUCACAGCAUACUUAUUUGUCCAUAACUAUAUAUAUAGUGUUUUGCAUAUUUAAAACUUUUGUACAAAAUGUGUCAGAGUGAACAUGUUCUUUUGCAAUUUCAUUUAUUUUGGUCAACAAUAUGUGACUUUUCUUCAUGAACAUCCUGCAUAUUCCUUGUUUCAUUUAUCCUUGGUUAUUUAGAACAUUUCUUCUAUUUUAAUGCUAACUUCAAUUGACUCAAAUUUUGUUGACGGCUUGUGAGAUCAACCAAAAGCUAAAUGAAAUCAGUCUUCUGUGUGUGUGUUUGUUUUUAAUGCUUUCUAGAUUAGUCUGACAUGCACACCCAAUCGGAAAACACUAGCGCAGAAGAGGGAGAGCCUAAUAUCAGCAUUACCUAGGUAUUAGAAGAAUUUGGAUAUUAUUAUAUACACCUGGCAUGAUAGCUAGGACAGAACCUGUUCUGCCGGGAGAAGGCGCCUGCUCAGGGUUUCUCUUUCCCUACAUGGGAACCCCUGAAGGAGAGUCCUGCCUGUGAUCUUCAUUUAGAAGGCUAGUGCUGACCACUGCUUGGUUCUCAUCAAUCCAUCCUUGAGAUAUCCCCAAUCUCAUCUUAAAUCUGAAUUGAACCUGUCAUAUUAUAGCCUGGCUCUUCUCUCACCAACUAUUUGGGGAACCCAGCCAACAUACUGUGAUGAAGCCUAAACAACUGUGGAGAGGCUCACGUGGAGAGGAGUCAAUGCCCACUGAUCUAUAAGCCUUGGCUGAGCUCUGAGCCAACAGUCAUGAUCAACUUCCAGCCGUAUAAGUGAACCAUCUUGAAAGAGGCUUCACCAGCACCAAGUUGAGCAACUUGAUUAUGUUACCAAAGAUCACCUCCUUCCUAUCAUCUUCCGUCUGAGACUUGCUUAGAGUGAGUUUGGAAGCUGUGUUUUGCUCAUCCUGAAGACUGAACAUAAGAAAAUAUUGCUCAAGUUCUGGAUGAUGCAGCUGCUGAAAUAAUCUGUGGUGCACUUUCCUUCAGGAAUCCUUACCUAUUUUUUCAGGUGUUCCACAAGCCUUCUUAUCUUGGAAUUCAGUAAUACUUAUUGUGUGGUUGCUUACUGUUCCCUAGGCACCCUGAAGCAUUGAAGCUUUGAAGCUUUGUCUCAUGCUUUCAAGUAAUGUUCUCGUGUUUACCUGCUGAUAUUCCUUCAAAGUUAGAGGCUGCCUCUCUCCAAGUGUGGAAAAAAACAAUCAGAUGUCACUAAGAUAUUGUGUAACAAUUCAUAUUAAACACAUGAUCUUGUCAGUCAAGAAGAAGAGAUUAAAACAAACACCUUGAGAGUUCAUGAGUAGAAGUAUACAGCCCUGCAUUCAUGAUAAUAUGGUGCAUUUUACCUACCUUGCAGCAGAAAGAGAUAUCUAAUUCCAUACACAGCAAUGUAACUGUUUAAAGUGCUCCUAAAAUUCAGACAAAACAAAUUAUAAAUAGUAUCAAGAUCAAAGAAGCUGAAAGUCCCUAUGUUUGAUGUAGGCACAGCAAAGUUUGAUGUAUAUGCUCAUUUCUCAGCACUGCAAGUAUGGAGAAACCAUCAGAAAGCAUGCUGAAAAUAGAGAGGGCUUCUAAAACAGAAAGCUCCUGCCUGUUUUACUGAAGGCUACCAGAUUCUUUCUCAGAAAUUUUGUACAGUUCAGAGGCACAAAUGCUCUUUUAGGUCCUUUGAAGCACUGGGUUUAAUAUCGGAAUUUAAUCUUGGCUCUAGUCUCCAAUUCCUUACAUAGUCAUUCAAGCAAUCUUGGGGACCAAGUCUUCCAAUAGCAUAGUGAUAUUCAUGCCUGAAGUGGGAGGAAUAGAUAUCCUCCUCAUUAACAAGGGAUGAGAGAUCAUGUUUCAUAGGCAAAAUACUCAUGCAUGCAAAAAUGUAACUUUUCCAGUAAUUUUUUUAGUACUGAAAUUAGCUUAGCUCAUUAGCUCUCUCUUCUACCUAGUAGCAGGGAAUGCAGUUUUGCUAACCCAGGUGACUCAUUAUUUCUGUUUUCAAGUUUAGUUUAUUUUAGGUAAAUUUUUGAAUUCAUAAUGUUUUUCUGACCUUUCUUCUCUUCCAGAAGAGGUUAUUCUAACUUCUUAAUGGAUUUACUUUUGUAGUUGUUACUGUUAUAUAUAUAUAAUAG
rnacentral:lncRNA from 1 species